rnacentral:rRNA from 1 species
CAACAGGGAUUGCCUCAGUAACGGCGAGUGAAGCGGCAACAGCUCAAAUUUGAAAUCUGGCUCCUUCGGGGUCCGAGUUGUAAUUUGUAGAGGGUGCUUCGAGCGAAGCCCCGGCCCAAGUCCCUUGGAACAGGACGUCAGAGAGGGUGAGAACCCCGUGUCCGGCCGGCGGCGCUCCUCGUGUGAAGCCCCUUCGACGAGUCGAGUUGUUUGGGAAUGCAGCUCUAAAUUGGUGGUAAAUUCCAUCUAAAGCUAAAUACCGGCCAGAGACCGAUAGCGCACAAGUAGAGUGAUCGAAAGAUGAAAAGCACUUUGAAAAGAGAGUUAAAAAGUACGUGAAAUUGUUGAAAGGGAAGCGCUUGCGGCCAGACUUGCCCGCGGAGGUUCAGCCCGUCUUCUGGCGGGUGCACUCCUUCGCGGUCAGGCCAGCAUCGGUUUGGGCGGUCGGACAAAGGCCUUGGGAACGUAGCCCCCUCCGGGGGGUGUUAUAGCCCUCGGUGCAAUGCGGCCAGCCCGGACCGAGGAUCGCGCUCUGCUAGGAUGCUGGCGUAAUGGCUGUAAGCGGCCCGUCUUGAAACACGGACCAAGGAGUCUAACAUCUAUGCGAGUGUUUGGGUGUCAAACCCGUGCGCGUAAUGAAAGUGAACGGAGGUGGGAGCCUUAGGGUGCACCAUCGACCGAUCCUGAUGUCUUCGGAAGGAUUUGAGUAAGAGCAUAGCUGUUGGGACCCGAAAGAUGGUGAACUAUGCCUAGAUAGGGUGAAGCCAGAGGAAACUCUGGUGGAGGCUCGCAGCGGUUCUGACGUGCAAAUCGAUCGUCAAAUCUGGGUAUAGGGGCGAAAGACUAAUCGAACCA